UACGUAGGGUGCAAGCGUUGUCCGGAAUUAUUGGGCGUAAAGGGCUCGUAGGCGGUCUGUUGCGUCGGCUGUGAAAACCCGAGGCUCAACCUCGGGCCUGCAGCCGAUACGGGCAGACUAGAGUUCGGCAGGGGAGACUGGAAUUCCUGGUGUAGCGGUGAAAUGCGCAGAUAUCAGGAGGAACACCGGUGGCGAAGGCGGGUCUCUGGGCCGAUACUGACGCUGAGGAGCGAAAGCGUGGGGAGCGAACAGG
rnacentral:rRNA from 1 species